rnacentral:lncRNA from 1 species
AAAAGUAUGUCAUUUGUAAUAGGAUGAUAUUUUUCAUUCUUAAGCUCACAUUUGGUGUCUCUCUACAUAGUCGAAAAUGUCUAAUUGUAAGGUACACAUUCUUGUUCUUUGAUUAAUUUUCUUCUUUUUAGAUAUAUUAUUAUAUCAUUUCUCAUCCUAAUCGAGAGAACAUUUUACUCUCUGCUACUUACGUUUCUAAUGUACCUAUUAAGUAGGACAUAAUAUGAUAAUAUACCUAAAAAAAAGAAACCCAAAAUUGGGUUUAGGGUGUAGGGUUAAGGUAUAGGGUUUAAGGUAUAGAGUUAGGGUAUAGAUUCAGGGUAUAGGGUAUAGGGUUUAGGGUUUAGGGUUUAGAUCAGAUAUCUUAUUCAUAUUAUAUUUUACCUUAUGUAUAGAUUAGAAAAUGAAUUCCUUUAAUCUAGAUUUUUUCAUAAAAAUAAAGAAAACUACAUGAUUCUUGCAAAUUGAUUGAAAAAUGUUAGUGUUAGAAGAAAAACUCAUAAUCAAGGUAUUUAAGACAUCAUCAAUUAAGUUUAUUUAUUAUAUUAAUAUGUUAUAGUUGAAUGGUGGAAAUUGUGUAAAAUAUAGAAAAAAUAUGACAUAAAAUUUAGCAUAUAUAAUUGAUACAUUUUAGAUGUCUAUCAAAUAAGAAUAUUAUGUGGGUUUUAUUUAAAACCACUCUUCAAAAUUGGGUGUAUAUGAAAAUUUCCCUUACAAAUAACCUAAUGGGGGAGUGUGUUUUCACAACAUGUUAAUAAACUGAACCAUCAAUUGCAAUUGGAAACUGUUUCGAAGUAACGUACAUUAUUCACAAAUCACAACAUCAGUGUUAGUAUGAAAAAUAAUAAAUGAGUCGGUCGAUCGACAACCAUUCUAUGCAGCAGUGCGACUUAAAAGUUAUAUGUGCUUGAGUGCUUCGCAAAAUAUUAUUAGCAACUUAUCCCGCUCUUGUACAACUUGACCAUAGCGACUAGCUGAUCGAUCACUUUCAUCUCCAGUUUCAUGCUCGAAGCCUUUUGGGACUCAACCCCCACAUCACGUUGAUCCCGAAGGCAAAGAUGGAUAAGGAAGCAGGGAUGAGAAACCGAAACUGCACUUGAGAUACAUGAUACAUGCGACACAACAUGUAGUCUUCAUGGUACGAGCUGAGGGAAAUGAAUGAACUUAAGAACAAGGAAGCAUAUCUGGCUUCAGAUUAUAUUGUACUACACAUGUAUAGUACAACUUGAAGUAUAAACUUGGUAUGGCUUUAAAAGUUUCAAACUUUAUAGGUUCAGAUGUUUGAAUUAUUGAUUUUAACGCUUUUGAUCUAUCAUAUGACUUAUGAUAUAGAAAAAUACUAUUCAAGUUUAUCCAGAGUUAUAUAUAUGUUACAACUUAGAAAUGUCAAUGGUGAAGUAAGGAUUUCAACCACCCAACCUUUUGUAGAUGAAGGUUUUAGAGGGGGGAGGUGAAUAGGCCCUUAACAACUUUUUUUCCAUAUAAAUUUGUUCUUAGAGAUAACAAGGGUUAUAGUUAUUGUCAUGACCCACCCCGAAUUUCACCCUGAAACCCGAAGUAAAUCCUACGGGGACCACCUCCAAGGAAAGUUUACCGAAAAAUUCAGCAUAACCCCCCUUGAAAAUGGACAACCCUUCCUAAUAAUACCUGCAUACACUUCAAAAGAAUCCAUUUAUAAUCCUCUACUCCUGGAGCCUUCGUGCUCCCCAAAUCACAACACCACCCAAAAUUUACUAAUCUAAACAAAUCUCCUAUCCAACCAUUUAUAGGUUCAGAGCAACUCUAACAAGAAUAAAGGAAACAAAAUAAAUUAACAAGCGGAAGCUAUAUGAUGACUAUGCCUCAUCUCCAGGUACGCCCGACCUCAACUAAGCUAACCUGCAAGCUGGGUAUUUUUAAAACGAAGGGCUCAGGGGAAAACAUUUGAAACACGUUAGAGUGAGUGGACAAAAUCAUAAAUUUAAUGAAAAUAUUUAUGCUUUCCCAAUUACAUUUCCAUAGAAAAUAUGCUGCAUACGACAGCUCAAAAACGCUCAACACAAAAACUGGCAAUUUCAUGACUAGCUCCGGCCAGUCUCCAAAGCACAAUAAAAUACAGUCUCUCAGGCUAAAAUAAAAUAUGUAUGUAUUACACUCGUCAUA